AAGACGCAAAAUAAAACGAAAUUUUACCCAGCAAGAAACUGGGAUGUUUAGAAUGUAUAUGCCAAAUUAUUCUGAAAUAUUCCGUUUCGUUUUUGAAUACGGGCCCGAUAUAUUGACAAGGCGCUCAAUUUUGACGCCGUGCAAGUCUUAGUAAAAUAGCAUAUAUUUUUAUCAAAUUACUAAAAACAGCAAACCUUACGAGAGAAUUUGAUUAUAAAUAGUUACGAAACUCACUCAGCACAAUGAUUUCCAAUUUUAAAAAGUAUUGAAAAGUUUGAGUUUCGAGUUUAAAUUGCCGUUAAAAUUAGCAAAUUCGAGUGAAAUCUGGUUGUCUUUCUUGGUUGAUUCACAAUAUCGUCGCUAGAUGGCGCCUCGUUGCUACGUACGCUAGUGCGCGAAAAUGGAAGUUCGAGAAGACUACACGGUUUCGGGACACUACGCAAACAGUUUCACAAGUCUGUAUAAAGCCGAUCCAGAAUAAACAACUCCAGUGACCCUUUGUAAUUGUUGCAGAGACAUAACAAGACAUCUGCAAGGUUUAAAACUUAGUGAUGGCCGACAAACAACCUGCCAACCCAACCGCGGACAGCGAAGGAAGUCAUACCCCAAAGAAUCACAUUAUAUACAGGACUCAGAACUUUGACAAUCACAGACCCUGUCAUAACAUCAAACUGGACUGAUGAGGCAGAAUAUAUCUUACAGAAUGUUUCAACAAGCGAAAAGUCGAAGAAUGUGUUGACCCAGUGCUUAAUCUGAUUGCACCAGGGCAAUCAGAGAAAUUAAAACAAUUGAUUAUGUUAGGACCUUAAACAACUCCAACAGAUAAAGAGCUUACAAACUACAUGUAUAUGAGGAGAUAACUAACAUUGAACUUCACACUCAAAUUUUUUCAAUGUCAAAAAACUAUGUUAAUAUAUAUAACAGUAAUAAGAUGUACAUGUAUAACUAAUUUAUGUAGAAGAUAAGUGCAUAUAUGUAUGUCCCUUUCUCACUGAUUGUCCAUUAUACAUGUAUAGAAAGAAUAAAGAAAUUUUAUAUCUCAUUACUUCAAGAAAAAUUAUGUGUAAUUAGCAUUAAGAAAGACAAAUUUAGCUGCAUGGUUAAUAACCAAGGAAGACAGAACAAUAACUAAUGAUUAAGUUAAUUGAAUUUCUAAUAUAAAAAAAGAAUCUCAGAAUGCUAUAUUUAUAUAAUAACAAGUGAAAUACUUUGUACUUAUCAUGAUAUAUCAUGAUUUCAUCUUUAAUUACUAAUAUGUGUAUUUAUGUAAUUACCAUGAUGGUAGCUACAUUAUUUGGACUACAUACAGUGUUUUCCCCAGAAAAUGUUUGAUGCAUGGGGGGAAAUUUGUCAGAGUAGGUGCACGGUGCAGUGUUAAAGGGCCCACACCGGGGCAAAAACACUUCGGGUAAAAAUAAUAUAACCAUCUGAUGAAAUGUACUGCAUGAUAUGCACUAUAAUUAAUGCAUUUUCAUGAAAUUCAUAUUUUGUAUUUAUGUAAUUACCAUGAUGGUAGCUACAUUUUUGGACUACAUAUACAUGUAUAUAGGAAUAUUCUAAUAGCAUAAAUUUGUAUACACAGCAUUUACCCAACUGCUGCACAUUCAUAUAAAUGUAUGCACUAUUUUUAUCCCCCCUUCGAAGAAGACGGCCAGUCCACCAACAGUUAUCAUUCAUUUUCUUCGCAGGGGUUCCACAUUUUGAAAUGAAAUUUGGUAUACAGAUUUAUCUGAAUAAGAUCUAGGCAAAGUUAUUUUUUGGGUAUGAUUGAGCAAUUUUUGACCUUGGAAUUAAAAAAAAUUCCAAUUAUUUGCAUUUUCUUCUCAGAUGUUUCCAAAGGAGGGGGCAUAGUUGUUUCACAAACAUGUCUUAUUUGUGUGCAAUCGUUCACUUAGGAUUUUCUUUUUAAAAAAUUGUAAACUUUUAGCCUUUCCAGGGUCCAAAUUGAGGGAAAAAAAUCAAUAUGUAAUCUAUUGGUUGAUGUUUGAUAUAACCAUCUAUAGUAUGUGUGAUACAUUUUGACAUGUAUGGUGUCAUGUAUAUCGAGUUAUUCAUGUGCAACUUGUUUAUUAUAUGUAUGACUGGAAGUCAGUUUAAUA